CUCGGGACGAGAAGGGAGAGGAGGUCGAGCGAGAAGAGGAAACUAGGAAUGGAAGGCACCAAGGCACCAUAUUCAUUCUGCAGUUCUGUAAGCUCUAGCCUCCCCUGAAGGAGCACUUUGCCCAGGAGGAGACACAAGGCAUCAAAGAGACAUAAUACAAUGGUCCCAGGAAGAAGAUGGGAUGCAGUGUGUGUAGGAAAUACAGCAACAGUCAGUUCACCUGAGGUAGGGUGCAGGAAAGUCUCUGGGGGUCACCUUUUCAUUGUUUCUGGAGAGUUAAGCCGGGGGAGUAAGUUCUGUGGUCUAUCUAUUUAUCUGUCAAAUUUUAUCUUCCUAUGCCUUAAGCAGCUACCUUUCCCAAGAUAGUUGCUGAAGUGAUACAAUUUUAGGAAAAUAAAGGAAAAGGAAAAAAAAGGGGAA